ensembl:lncRNA
UUUCGUACUUCUUCAGGCUGCUGGUACUUCUGAUACCUUUGGUGGCUAAGACAAAAAAUAGCCUGUUUUUUUCCUGUCUGUUUCACUGCUAAUAUUAGCCUUCAAGGCUCUAUAUCUAUCAGGGUUGCUAUGUGUCUUUGAUUCGAAUCUCUGAGACGCUUCCCAGGUCAGUAAUGAAGGCUGUCUCUCCUGAAGAAUUCCCGGAGUGAUCCUACCCUAGUGAGGAAGGAUGGUCUGUACAAUGCUGUGUCACAGCUCAGAGUCCCAGGUGCCAGCCCCAGAGAGAUAUGCUGGUCUUGCCUUCGGGCUCUCCUAUGCUUUGAGCUACAUGCACAGCCCUUGGGAGAAGGGUUGUUCAGGCGCAGUGGAAGAGAUGUCCUAAAUCAGGGUGCUCUCCUCCGGUGUCACAUGCUACCACACUACUGCAGAGGGAAUACCUGUUGCAGAAGAGCCUAGAUGAGGUAGUGGGAUGCCCUGAGUUGUGGUGGAUUGCAGAAGAGUGCUUGUUGCUUGCUGUCCCUGAUUCCAGCUCUUGUUUCCUUGUGCCCCAGACAAGGACAGCCCUACCCCAGGGAAGCUGAAAUACUGCCACACGGACACUGUGGGAACCACUCCUGCAACAGCUACUACAACACCACUUUCUGUGAUGCAGAAAAAUGAAGCAACAAACUGUGAUAAAAAAAGUAUGGCAGAAGGACAAUACAGUCAAUUUAGAACCCAUCAACCUUGACUCAUACGCUUUCAUAGAAUCAUAGAAUGGCUUCAAAUGGAAGGAAUCUUGAAGCCCAUCCUGCUCCGACCCCCCUGCCACAAAUGAGCAGGGUUGCCACCCACUGAAUCAGGCUGCCGAGGGCCCCAUUCAACCUGGCCUUGAACACCUCCGGGGGUGGGGCAUCUGCAGCUUUUUUGACUGCAUUGCAACUGUUCAUGCCUAUAGAUGAACAGUUUCAGCUGUAAUAACAACCAAAAUUGGCCCCAUCUUAUGCGAAAAGCCUCCUCCCUGCCUUCCAAAAUGAAGUGGCAUAUGUCUCAUAAACCUCUCUCUUGGCUCUGGUGAGGGAUGUGCAUCAGGGCACAGAGGAGAGGAACACAUUCAUGCACAGAUGUGCACCAAAACAGAUAUGACUAC